UGGAUUGAGUCUCUGAUCAUUUACCAGGGGU
rnacentral:piRNA from 1 species